rnacentral:rRNA from 1 species
AUCCUAGUUGGCGGGGUAAUGGCCCACCAAGGGUACGAUGGGUAGCUGGUCUGAGAGGAUGAUCAGCCACACUGGGAUUGAGAUACGGCCCAGACUCCUAUGGGAGGCAGCAGUGGGGAAUAUUGCGCAAUGGGCGAAAGCCAGACGCAGCCAACCCGCGUGUGUGAUGAAGGCCUUUGGGUCGUAAAGCACUGUCGUGAGGGAAGAAGUUUUGAUGGUACCUCACAAGAAAGCACCGGUUAACCCCGUGCCAGUAGUUGUGGUAAUACGGGGGGUGCAAGCGUUGCUCGGAAUCACUGGGCGUAAAGCGUCCGUAGGCGGAUUAGUAGGUCGGUCGUGAAAGUCCGGGGUUUAACCCCGGAACUGCGAUCGAAACCGCUAGUUUAGAGUCCGGGAGAGGGGGGUGGAAUUCCUGGUGUAGAGGUGAAAUUUGUAGAUAUCAGGAGGAACACCGGUGGCGAAAGUGGCCCCCUGGCCCGAAACUGACGCUCAUGGACGAAAGCGUGGGGAGUAAAUAGGAUUAGAUAUCCUGGUAGUCCACGCCGUAAACGAUGGAUGCUAGCUGAUGGGACUUUUAUUGUCUCGUUGGCGUUGCUAAUGCAUUGAGCAUCCCGCCUGGGAAGUACGGCCGUAAGGCUAAAACUCAAAGGAAUUGACGGGGGCCCGCACAAGCGGUGGAGCAUGUGGUUUAAUUCGAAGCAAUGCGCAGAAUUUUACCCAGGCUUGACAUCCCCGGAACCUCGCGGAAACGUGAGGGUGCCCUCUUAUGAGGGAGCCGGGAGACAGGUGCUGCAUGGCUGUCGUCAGUUUGUGUUGUGAGGUGUUUGGUUAAGUUUGGCAAUGAGCGCAACCCCUGCUGCUAGUUACCAUCAUUAAGUUGGGGAUUCUAGCGGGACCGCCAACGAUAAGUUGGAGGAAGGUGGGGAUGACGUCAAGUCUUCAUGGCCCUUAUGUCUGGGGCUACACACGUGCUACAAUGGCGUCUAUAAAGGGCUGCAAAACUGUGAAGUGAAGCAAAUCCCGUAAAGGACGCCACAGUUCGGAUUGCAGUCUGUAAUUUGACUGCAUGAAGCUGGAAUCGCUAGUAAUCGCGGAUUAGUAUGCCGCGGUGAAUACGUUCCCGGGCCUUGUAUAUACCGCCCGUCACACCACGAGAGUUGGUGGUGUCCGAAGUUGUGAUCCAAAUUGUAAGAUAGGGAGCGCCUACGGCAACAUCGGCGAUUGGGGUGAAGUCGUAAUAAGGUAGCCGUAGGGGAACCUGCGGCUG